UGGCCCACUUCCAACUCCUGACUGCCUUUGCUCUGCUCCGAUUCAACUCCCUGAUAGAUAAGGCCAUACCCCAAUCCCCGGACUGUAUUUAAAGUGCUACUGACUCAUGACUGCCUCUUCUCCACCCUGAUUCGACUCCCAGAUUACUCUUCAAGAGGACUGGAUGGUUCAGUGGACUCAACACUAGACUUUCAAUUUGGAACCUGAGUUGUGAUCCUCCUCAAAUGAUGUAAUGGACUUCUCCUCUGACUACCAGCUGGAAGGACACUGAUAAGUAAUACAGCAGCUGGUGCCAUGAAAAGGGAG